UUGCCGGUAAGAGUUUCAUUUGAGGUUUCUGCCUUUUUGGAUUUCGAGAAGGUUUUAAUGUUGCGCGGUUUUUUAUAGUUGAUCUACCGGAGCUUCUGGCCGCCGCCGGAGCUGCUGCCGGGCCGGUUCGAAAUUGCAGCUGCUUCGUGUUGUUAUUCCGAGUUGUUUAUGCGGCUGCGAAAAUGUGUGGGGCUGUGCUUUGAAGCUGCCUUUGAUUUCGAGUUGAGGCGAAAAGAACUUAUGAGGCGUUUGGAUUAUGGAAUUUGCGUUUUGAGGAUAUGGGCGCAGAAGUUACGAAGAGUUUAUUUAUUUAUUGUUGAGAUGUU